rnacentral:rRNA from 1 species
UGGGGAAUAUUGGACAAUGGGCGAAAGCCUGAUCCAGCCAUGCCGCGUGGGUGAAGAAGGUCUUCGGAUUGUAAAGCACUUUAAGUUGGGAGGAAGGGCAGUAAGCGAAUACCUUGCUGUUUUGACGUUACCGACAGAAUAAGCACCGGCUAACUCUGUGCCAGCAGCCGCGGUAAUACAGAGGGUGCAAGCGUUAAUCGGAAUUACUGGGCGUAAAGCGCGCGUAGGUGGUUCGUUAAGUUGAAUGUGAAAGCCCCGGGCUCAACCUGGGAACUGCAUCCAAAACUGGUGAGCUAGAGUAGGGCAGAGGGUGGUGGAAUGUCCUGUGUAGCGGUGAAAUGCGUAGAUAUAGGAAGGAACACCAGUGGCGAAGACGGCCACCUGGGCUCAUACUGACACUGAGGUGCGAAAGCGUGGGGAGCAAACAGG